rnacentral:rRNA from 1 species
UACGUAGGGUGCGAGCGUUAAUCGGAAUUACUGGGCGUAAAGCGUGCGCAGGCGGUUUUGUAAGCCAGAUGUGAAAUCCCCGGGCUUAACCUGGGAAUGGCAUUUGGGACUGCAAGGCUUGAGUGCGGCAGAGGAGACUGGAAUUCCUGGUGUAGCGGUGAAAUGCGCAGAUAUCAGGAAGAACACCCGUGGCGAAGGCGGCUCUCUAGUACGGUACUGACGCUGAGACGCGAAAGCGUGGGGAGCGAACAGG